rnacentral:rRNA from 1 species
UAAUGUCUGGGAAACUGCCUGAUGGAGGGGGAUAACUACUGGAAACGGUAGCUAAUACCGCAUAAUGUCGCAAGACCAAAGUGGGGGGACUUCCGGGCCUCAUGCCAUCAGAUGUGCCCAGAUGGGAUUAGCUAGUAGGUGGGGUAACGGCUCACCUAGGCGACGAUCCCUAGCUGGUCUGAGAGGAUGACCAGCCACACUGGAACUGAGACACGGUCCAG